rnacentral:tRNA from 1 species
GGUGGCUCAGUGGUAGAGCGCUUGCCUCACAAGCAUGAGGCCCUGGGUUCGAUUCCUUAGCACCA